CUUCCUUUAACACAGUGAAGAGGGAAGAGAAUGGCGUGUCGGGGAGCAGUGGGUAUAAUCUGUGGCCAUCCUAAAGCACCGAAAAGGCUUGUUACUGUGGAGGUUCGGCACAAGUCCUAUAAGCGAGAGCACCUGACAUGGAACUGAGAGAUGGAAAACGACGUCUUCUGCAGAGGCUCCUCUGACCCCAUGAAGCCAGCCUGAAAACACCUGAGAGGGAUCCAGCCUUUCUAGAAGAUAAAAAGGUUCUUAAGGGACAGCAGACGCCCCUGAGGAUGUGCUGGAUUUGAGCUAGAUUUGAAGAGGGUGGGAUCACUUGAAGAAAAGGUUGUUCAGCGAGGCCUGGCCUGUGGUGGCCUUGUCCUUUCCUAUAGCAUCUGCUAAAGAGACCUGGGGUGGUUUGAGGCCUUGGUGUGUCUUCAUCAUGACAAGGUUAUAGAAACCUCACACAAUCA